CUGAACAUCAUUCACAAUCAUUAGUAAAUAUUGUUAAAAAUAUGAUUUUAAUGAUUGCUCCAUAUGAAUGUGCUCAGUCUUACUUACGUAAGAUUAUUAAGUUGACCAUUUCGCCUAUUUCUAAUUUCCAGCUAUUAAAAAUAACUCUGUUAUGAAUAUUCUCUAACAUAAAUCUUUGACCAUCUGUGAUUAUCUCCCCAGGCUAAACUCCUAGAAGUGGGAAUACAGAAUGAAAGUUCUGAUUAUUUUUAAAAUUUCUGAUAUAUAUAGUGCUGAUUUGCCCUCUGGAAAGAUUGCUUCCGAUUUGCAACUCCAACUGCUGAAUUUUGAACUGCUUCUUCAGGCCCUGUUCUCAGUGAAAUCCACCUCUUACAGAUUGUAAAAAUCCUACUUAGGAGCUUGAAGAUGCAGAACAGGCACUGACAACACUCCGUCAAAGCUCUCCCACAGGAAGGACUUCUGAUGGGCGUGGCUGGGUAACUCAUUCAUAGCACAGCACGAAGAUGAGAGGUGACCCUGCGUCUAUUGGAAUCAGAUUAGAGCAAAUUGCUCAUUAUUGUCAGGCGGAUGGAGACCUUGUGACAAAUGGGAGGACACUGGAGUUAGAAAUGACUGCCUGCAAGAAGCUUUGUCACAGGGGCUAUGACUUGGAGGCUUGA
rnacentral:lncRNA from 1 species